AAUGAAAAGGCCCACAAAUCGAAAGUCAACGAAGAAUGUCUUGUGUUAUAAAAACUAAUGAUUGCCAAUUGGUUUUUACUGUUAUUGCCGCGCCCUGCUUCCGUGAUGGACGCAGAGGCGUAGCAACUGGAACUGGAAGUGGAAUUGGAAUCGCAUUUAAGCCGAAAGUUCUACGCAUUGUCUUGCAAUACGCAUAAUUUCCAGCCGCGUGCACUUGCAGGAAAAUCAUCUCGCUACGUCUUAAUUGUGUGCGCUUCCUUUCGCGAUGCUACAUUAAUUUCGUAGUAAUUCACGAGGUCUGCUUCGACUGAAGAAGAGUAGCUGCAUCCAUAGAAUCUAAGCCAGGCCUUCAACAAUUUCUAAUUUAUUGCAAUUAUGCGACGCAUGUCACACUCACUGCUGACCAUUGACCAGGACGCCGACACGUGACCAAUCUGCUAGCCCCGGGGCCACUGAUUGGAAAACACUAAACAGAUAGGCUAGUCGAACGGGCGGGCUGACCCAGCGACGGUCAGACAGCUGUCUGACCAUUCUAUAGAGAUUUAUUUUACGCUGAUAACACGCUUAAGUAAAUGCAGCACACACACUCCGUCGACGACUCCCAGCUCCCAGUUCGAGUUCGUACAAUUUAAAUGGCGAUUAAAUCUGUUGGCAUUGAUGGAUGUGUCCAAGGCGGCUGGCUGGCUGGCUGGCAGGCAGCCUGUUCUGUGGUCAGUCUGCAGGAUGCGACGCCGUGUUAACACUUUUGUACAAUUGCCAAUUUUUCGCCAGCGCCUGCUGAUGAGCUAUCCUCAACAACCGCCUGCUCGCCUGCCCGCCUGACUGUGUGGGUGGUUGGUUUGCCUGGUUGAUGGCCAGCGGUGGCUUUUGUGGUGUUGUUCUCGGCUGAACGGCUGUUGUUAUUGUCGCGAGUGGGUGGACAUUGAGUUGGGCAGGCAUGCGGCUACACUUCAAUAUUCAUUUGAACGCAUAAUUGAUAUUGACGAACAAUGUUGCCGUGUCGCUACAAUGUUUCAACUCCACUGUGAGAAUAAUAAGGCAGCAUUAAGAUUAUUCCAAAUAUAUUAUGCUUAUAUUAACUCAUAUUGAGACAAUCUCAACUAUAUGUUUACUACAUGCUAAGUAGCUUAACU